UCGAUGUGGAGCAAGGAAGCAUCGAUGUUUGAGCAGGGCCAUGUCCUGGUGGUGGGCAUCGAUGUUGAGCAGGGCCGCAUCCUCGUGGUGGGUAUCGAUGUGAGGAAGUUGUUACUCUAUAUUUGCAUAAGGCGAAUGUGGAGGCUACCUGCCACAAGCCUCGAGACACAGCAGUUUGGUUGGGCUCUCUCCCUUGAGCCAUGGUCGGCAACCCCAAGUUUGUUCUUGAGAUCAUCAGAAUAUUGGUUGGGAGUGACUGCCUCUUAUCUGGUUCAUAAUAUUCUAGCUGAUCUUCAGACAAAGUGAGGAGAGAAAGUAGCAGAUUGGAGAACCUUUGGACCAUUGGUUACAGCAAGGAACGGGGAACGAUUGUUGUGUUCUAUAAAUGGUGACUGCUGGUUGAUGUCAAAUUAACUCUUGCAAUGGUCUAAUCUACUAGAUCCAUGACUUUUCGUGGUCUCUUGUCUGUUUAUUCUAUUUCUUGGGUAUCUCUGGAUAUUUUGCUCUCAAUGGGAUCAAUGUAGUUAGCAUGGCAGGGGAAGUUGCUUCAAGGCUGUUAAACAGAGGAGAGUAAGUGGCCAGACGGGACGAGGACGAUCUCCAUCAGUAGUAGUCGUCAACGACGGCAGGUCCAGAUGGGUCGAGCCAGCAGUAUGUUCCCCAAAUCUACUCAUGUGACCAUUGGAACAAAGAUGUUCAGGAACUUGUUUUUCCAUCAUAGGCUUGAGAAGACCAAGUUUCCAAAAUCUGCUGAUGUGACCUUUGCAACAAAGAUGCCCUGAAACUUCCCAUCAUAGGCUUGUCAUUUUUAGACUUAGCUUGUACCUUAUCUAUACAUAUUUCUUAAGUCUUUUUUCUGUUAAUACGGCCAACAAUCUAUGUGGUUGCAUACCAUCUGUUUAUUAUAAUGCCUGUGCCAUACAUUGUGUU